GGAGUGGGCUGAGUGAUCGCUGUCAUCCAGACAUUUGAUCUGGAGAUGGAGGAAAGUCCGGACUCCGCAGGACAUGGUGGUGGGUAACGCCCACCGUCCGCGAGGAUAGGGAAAGUGCAACAGAGAGCAGACCGCCGAUGGCUGUCGAACCAUUUCUUUUUGCCGGGGGAAACAUGCCUCUUGCAGGAAGAAAUUCACGGCAGCACAGGUAAGGGUGAAAGGGUGCGGUAAGAGCGCACCGCGGGGUCGGUGACGAUUCCGGCAUGGUAAACCCCACCAGGAGCAAGACCAAGCAGGGCGAAGUUGAGCGAGGAAACUCGCUGAGCCCGAGGUUGUCCGCCUCGGUUGACGUCCGGGUCGGUUGCGCCGAGGUGAUGAGCAAUCAUCAUCCCAGAGAAAUGAUCACUCACGACAGAAUCCGGCUUACAGGCCCACUCCACUU
rnacentral:RNase_P_RNA from 1 species